ACUUCCUGUUGUGUGGCCCAGACAGGGCACUGUCUGUGGCCCCAGGGGUUGAGGACCCCUGGCUUUAACAACAGAAAGGUACCAUCUUACAGUUCUGGAGGCCAAAGUCUGAUAUCCAGACCCCAGUUACUGGAUUGGGAUCCACCCUCACUCAAUAUGGCCUCAGCUUAAUGAAAGACAUCUGCAGAGACCCUAUUUCUACUAAAAGCCACAUUCUGAGACUUCUCGUGGGCGUGAGUUUUUGAGAGACACUGUUCUGCUCCAUGCAGGGAGGGAAUUGGGAUCUGAAGACGUUGCAUUCGAGGUCUCGGGGCUCCUGAUGAGCAGCCUCGGCCUGACCUGGGGCAGGUGUGAUGUCUGCGGCUCACCAUCUCCACCCUGCCUGCUGUGGAAUCUCCACAACGACAGGUGCUUUGGAGGCCAGAGUGCAUGCGUACGGGCCCUGCACACGCUGAAUGUCACUGGGAACAAGGACACACCCCGCUUCCAGGAGAAGAUAGAACAUGUCGACCCCUUUUGCUCUCGUUCUGUUGCCCAGGCUGGAGUUCAGUGGCAUGAUCUUGGCUCACUGCAGCCUCGAACUCACAGGCUUAGGUGAUCCUCCCACCUCAGCCUCCUCAGUAGCUGGGACUACAGAGCCAUCCCCAGUGCAGGACAUGCUAUUGACUUCCAUGAGACAAACACCUACUUGGAAAUCAGGUUUUUUCUGUACCUUUUGAAGGAGCAGGAAUUUCCCAGCAUUUCCUGGACAAAGACGGAGUCCAUCGUGGGACCCACACUUUUGUAAACCACGAUAAAGAUGAACUACCAGAAAAAUGAUGAAGCACUUAGACAACAUGGCAAAGUGAAGUGGCUGUCAGCGUUUCUACCCGCUCGCUCUCAAUUUCCACACUCAACGAGGCCCAGAACAGUCAGUUCCCGGACUGUCCCUGGAGCACAGGCCAGGCACCCUGGAUGAUUAACUGAGGGGUUCCAUGAGUAUUUCCUGAGCACUGUAUGCUGAGCGCUGUUGUAGCCCAUGGAACUAAACCUAGUACCCAAUAGUUACUUUUUCUAAGCCACUCUCUCCUUCCACCCACCACCUUCAAGUAGGCUGCAGUGUCUGUUGUCCCCCUCUUUGUGUCCAUGUGCCCUCAUUUAGCUCCCACUUAUAAGUGAAAAUGUGCAGCGUUUGCUUUUCUGUUCCUGAGUUAGUUUGCUAAGGAUAAUGGCCUCCAGCUCCACCCAUGUUUCUGCAAGGAACAUGAUCUCAUUCUUUUUUAUGGCUGCAUAGUAUUCCAUAGUGUAUAUGUAACACAUGUUCUUUAUCCAGUCUACCACUGAUGAGCACUGUGGUUGAUUCCAUGUCUUUGCUAUUGUGAAUAGUGCUGCAAUGGACAUAUGCGUGUAUGUGUCUUUACGGUAGAACAAUGUAUAUUCCUUUGGAUAUAUACCCAGUAACGGGAUUGCUAGGUUGAAUGGUAGUUCUGUUUUUAGCUCUUCGAGGAAUUGCCAUGCGGCUUUCCAUAAUGACUGAACUCAUUUACAUUCCCACCAACAGGGUAUAAGUGUUCCCCUUUCUCCACAACCUCACCAGCACCUGUUGUUUUUUGACUUUUCAAUAACAGCCAUUCUGACUGGUGUGAGAUGGUACCUCGUUGUGGUUUUGAUUUGCGUUUCUCUCUAAUGAUCAGUGAUGUUGAGCUUUUUUUCAUAUGCUUGUUGGCC
rnacentral:lncRNA from 1 species